UACAGCCACAUCACGUUGAAGCACCGGUUCCUGUAAGAUCACCGAGGUUAAGCAACGUCGACCCUGGUCAGUACAUAGAUGGAUGAGCGCUUUGGAAUAUCAGGGGUUGUAAG